rnacentral:rRNA from 1 species
CCUACAGGAGGCAGCAGUAGGGAAUUUUCCACAAUGGGCGCAAGCCUGAUGGAGCAACACCGCGUGAGUGAAGAAGGGUUUCGGCUCGUAAAGCUCUGUUGUUGGAGAAGAACGUGCGUGAGAGUAACUGUUCACGCAGUGACGGUAUCCAACCAGAAAGUCACGGCUAACUACGUGCCAGCAGCCGCGGUAAUACGUAGGUGGCAAGCGUUAUCCGGAUUUAUUGGGCGUAAAGCGAGCGCAGGCGGUUGCUUAGGUCUGAUGUGAAAGCCUUCGGCUUAACCGAAGAAGUGCAUCGGAAACCGGGCAACUUGAGGGCAGAAGAGGACAGUGGAACUCCAUGUGUAGCGGUGGAAUGCGUAGAUAUAUGGAAGAACACCAGUGGCGAAGGCGGCUGUCUGGUCUGCAACUGACGCUGAGGCUCGAAAGCAUGGGUAGCGAACAGGAUUAGAUACCCCUGUAGUC